rnacentral:lncRNA from 1 species
GUUUAAGAAAGGAAAGAGCAUGCCCAAGAGUACAAGUGAGCCAGUGAGCUGAGGGACUAGUCCUCAUAGCAUGGGCCGUGCAUCACUCAGACAUCCCUCCCCUCCCUCACUGGCUUGCUGCCUUACAGCCCCACCUCAGCCCCGCCUCUGCCCCGCCUCUGCUGUUUAUAUUCCCCAUGCUGUGUUUGCUGCAGGCUUUAUCCCAUGCUGCCUGUCGGUCCUCCUCUGCAACUGGCUACUUUCCGAUGUUAAUCUUGCUUUAGCUUUUUCAGUUUCUACUCUCCUGUCUCACUGAAAGAAGAAAAAGGCCGAAGUGCUGGCGCCAACAAGAAGCAGUGGGAAGUUGUCUCCAGGAAGCAGAUUCUGCACAGUUUUGACAACUUUUCAUACUCCCUUGUAAGAGAGAAACUACAGUAGAGCUAAUGAUCUUGUCAGUGAUGAACAGGGCCACACCUUGACCUGGACUCCUCAACUCUGCCCGCCUCUUGCUUCCUAUUUUUGUUGUGGAGUUCUCGUGUAGAGAGAUGGGACAUGCAGCCUUUCUGCCAGGAAACAGCAUUAUCCGUGGUGGCAAGGCGGCAGAGGUUCACAGGAUUCACAUCCAAAGGCUGAGCACAGCAGGGCGUGCAUCCUUGCAUAGCCUUCCUGAAUUUCCCUUUACAUUUUAGUCUUUUUGUAUCCUUUCUAUGGUAACAUACGUUCUGACUCAGAUCUUUGUCACAGUGUAGAUAUUAAUUAUGGCAGUCGCCCUCCUUUUGUUUCUAGAAAGGCCCUUAUCACAUUUGACAGGGACCUGGAGAAGGCCUGGAGGUAGAACACUGGACCUUUUCCUUUGCAACUUUUAUCAAUAUGGCCACUUGGAACCAAUCUUAAUUUUCACUAUUACCUGUCUCUUGAAUUCAUCUUUUGAGGACAGACACCCAGCACAGCUUGGUACAGCUGCCAGAGCCUGCAUGCAGUCUGACUACUGGUAAUAAUUUUUGGCCAAGUUGGGACCAGAAGAAAACACCCAUUUGGGGUGUCAGCCACUAGCCAGAAGUUGGCCCAGAAUGGAGGAGAGCGACUGAGUGACCCAGAUAAUUUCUGAAGUCAUUUUACUUCAGGAACUUCUUCCUCCCACUCCAACCAGAGUCAUCUGGUUUUUACCUCAAUUUGAUGAAACAGAAAAAUGAGUAGUUGAACUUUGUUUUUGCACUCCUAAGAAACUGACUCUAGAGUUUUUCUGAGCCACCGAACUUUUGUUGAACCUUCUAGGCUAUUGCAUCAUUUCUAGGUCAGGCCUUGACAAUGUGGAAGGUAUUUUGAGCCAAUUUUGAGUUCUUUUGAACUAUCUAGGCGUCUGCUGUGUGACAGUAAAGGCUGAGAGGUAUUGAUAGUCUGGCGUUCUGGUGAGUCACAGAAGUUCUGAUGAAUCAGCAGGAAACCAAGGCUAUUGAAGAGAUCUCUGGUAGGAUCUGUUCUCCACCACCUCCCUGCACACACACACCCGCGCACGUGCGCACACACACACAUACUCGCGCGCACACGCACACAAGCACACACACACACACACACACACACACACACACACACACACGCACGCACGCACACGCGCGCCUCACCUUAGUUCUUAGGACAUAAGCCAUUUGGGCUGAAUCUUACUCUUUCCACUGCACCAUGCCAGACUGACAAAGUCAGGACAGCUUCCCUCACCUGUGGAAGUGCCAGCAGUUACUCUUGUCUAUUUGAGGAGUGACCGUCCUCCCCUGAUAGAGGUACAGGCUUCAGAGCAAGAACAAGGUUAGCAGGAGCCUGGGAUGCCUCCAUCCCUACAUAUGCAGACAGUCAGCACUGAUAACUUUUGUUUUGUUACUUCAACAUGGUGGAGAAUUGCCUCUAUCUUUGUAUGCAAGGUUUUGAUCUGCUCGUUCGUGACCUUAUUAGAAGGUUUUUGGUUUUGGGGUUGUUUUUUUUUGGGGGGGUGGGUGGGUUCUGUUUUGGUUUGGUUUUGGAGGUUUUCGGUUUUUGUUUUGUUGUUGUUGGGGUUGUUUGUUUGUUUGUUUGUUUUGGGCUUGUUUUGGCACAGAUAUCCUAGAUGAGUUUUGACUGAACAGUCUCCAUGGUCUGCGAGACACCUUCUGCCUAUGGGUUGUUUAUAAGUUAGCUAUGGCUCAUCACUUUAAGUUUGAAUAGCUCAAACUCAAGUCACACAGCCUCGGAUGCCCUUCUACAUUACUUCUUCACAUUGCUGUUGGUCUAAGAUUAGUCAUCCCUGAACCAUCACUGUGGAUUCGGGCACUGGCACAAUAUUCUCUGGGGGUUUCUUGCCCCAGAGCUUCUUGCUUUCUGCUUAAUCGUUUCUUGGGACUUGUGGAGUCCUACUGGCCGGAUUCUAUGCAUCAAUGUAUUUUUAUUUCACUAAUCAGUGGGAGGAGGAGGUAUACACGAGGCACCCAGCUUCUGGUCACUGAACCUCUCCAUUCUCAUUAUGAAACAGAUGCAGAUUAUCUGCUUGCAUACCAAGCCUGGAGGCCAUCAACAUCACCAGUUGCAAGAGGAGGCUCAGCAAGGGCUCAUCCUGUGUCCCGGGCAGACAGAUUCAGCAUUGCCUCUUAAUGGAAUUCUAAUCUCAAGACUCUGGCCUCCGUUCUUUUUGUUCUCAUGUUGGCUACCUUCUGCAGAUUUGUAAAGUUGCCCAGAGCUGUGCAUUCAUGCCCUAGGCGUUUAAUAAAUGGAAAGUUUCUCCCUGUUCCCUCUCCUAGAUCAUGUUCAGAAAAGCAUUAGGGUUGCUUCCUACACCUGGACUCAUCUCUGCCCUUGUCAGUCCACCCUCUAGGCCUCCACUGUUAGAAACAGGGUCAUCUCAGCAUAGGAUGCAACUGAGAAAUGGUUGAGCUAUGAAAUUCAAGCUUGUUUCAUCCAGAUCCAGCAAUGCACACACACACACACACACACACACACACACACACACACACGCACACAACUGCUAUCUAGACAGUGGCACAUGAGCUAUUGGGUGGCUGGUAUAAGUGCCUCAGUGAACACGGGUCUAGGUUCGCUAGUAUCAAUUGGUACCCUGGUUUCAAGGUCAAAUAAAGCACAUUGAAUUAGUGUGGUAUUUGGAAUCUUGGUAUAGUGUAAUAUGUUACUCCAAGAGCCAUUUUGAUCACAAGCACAUGGUGUCCAUGGGCCUGUGGGACACCUGCCUGGGCUCCACUCAGUAUGUCAUCUGAAUUACAGGACCACCAUGAUCAGCUCUGGUGAUUGCACUUCCCAUCUCUCCUCCACUGUGAUCUUGUUAGAAUAGAAAUAAAGGUCCAUCCUAGUUCGGCAGGUCAAUCACCUGGCUAAAGACCACAUGGAGGGAGGUCAUGCUAAAGA